GCAAGGUUAACCGUAUAGGGGAGCCGGAGGGAAACCGAGUCUUAACCGGGCGUUAAGUUGCAGGGUAUAGACCCGAAACCCGGUGAUCUAGCCAUGGGCAGGUUGAAGGUUGGGUAACACUAACUGGAGGACCGAACCGACUAAUGUUGAAAAAUUAGCGGAUGACCUGUGGCUGGGGGUGAAAGGCCAAUCAAACCGGGAGAUAGCUGGUUCUCCCCGAAAGCUAUUUAGGUAGCGCCUCGUGAAUUCAUCUCCGGGGGUAGAGCACUGUUUCGGCUAGGGGGCCAUCCCGGCUUACCAACCCGAUGCAAACUGCGAAUACCGGAGAAUGUUAUCACGGGAGACACACGGCGGGUGCUAACGUCCGUCGUGAAGAGGGAAACAACCCAGACCGCCAGCUAAGGUCCCAAAGUCAUGGUUAAGUGGGAAACGAUGUGGGAAGGCCCAGACAGCCAGGAUGUUGGCUUAGAAGCAGCCAUCAUUUAAAGAAAGCGUAAUAGCUCACUGGUCGAGUCGGCCUGCGCGGAAGAUGUAACGGGGCUAAACCAUGCACCGAAGCUGCGGCAGCGAACGUAUCACCCAAGACAACUUUACGGAGUUGACGAUUGACGGAGCGAAGCGACGUCAAAGCGUUCAUUAAAGUCGAGUUGGCUUAGGGAUACGUUCGUUGGGUAGGGGAGCGUUCUGUAAGCCUGUGAAGGUGUGUCGUGAGGCAUGCUGGAGGUAUCAGAAGUGCGAAUGCUGACAUAAGUAACGAUAAAGCGGGUGAAAAGCCCGCUCGCCGGAAGACCAAGGGUUCCUGUCCAACGUUAAUCGGGGCAGGGUGAGUCGACCCCUAAGGCGAGGCCGAAAGGCGUAGUCGAUGGGAAACGGGUUAAUAUUCCCGUACUUGGUGUUACUGCGAAGGGGGGACGGAGAAGGCUAUGUUGGCCGGGCGACGGUUGUCCCGGUUUAAGCGUGUAGGUGUGUGUUCCAGGUAAAUCCGGUUCACUUUAACACUGAGGCGUGACGACGAGGCACUACGGUGCUGAAGCAACAAAUGCCCUGCUUCCAGGAAAAGCCUCUAAGCAUCAGGUAACAUCAAAUCGUACCCCAAACCGACACAGGUGGUCAGGUAGAGAAUACCAAGGCGCUUGAGAGAACUCGGGUGAAGGAACUAGGCAAAAUGGUGCCGUAACUUCGGGAGAAGGCACGCUGACACGUAGGUGAAGUGAUUUACUCAUGGAGCUGAAGUCAGUCGAAGAUACCAGCUGGCUGCAACUGUUUAUUAAAAACACAGCACUGUGCAAACACGAAAGUGGACGUAUACGGUGUGACGCCUGCCCGGUGCCGGAAGGUUAAUUGAUGGGGUCAGCGCAAGCGAAGCUCCUGAUCGAAGCCCCGGUAAACGGCGGCCGUAACUAUAACGGUCCUAAGGUAGCGAAAUUCCUUGUCGGGUAAGUUCCGACCUGCACGAAUGGCGUAAUGAUGGCCAGGCUGUCUCCACCCGAGACUCAGUGAAAUUGAACUCGCUGUGAAGAUGCAGUGUACCCGCGGCAAGACGGAAAGACCCCGUGAACCUUUACUAUAGCUUGACACUGAACAUUGAGCCUUGAUGUGUAGGAUAGGUGGGAGGCUUUGAAGUGUGGACGCCAGUCUGCAUGGAGCCGACCUUGAAAUACCACCCUUUAAUGUUUGAUGUUCUAACGUGGACCCGUAAUCCGGGUUGCGGACAGUGUCUGGUGGGUAGUUUGACUGGGGCGGUCUCCUCCUAAAGAGUAACGGAGGAGCACGAAGGUUGGCUAAUCCUGGUCGGACAUCAGGAGGUUAGUGCAAUGGCAUAAGCCAGCUUGACUGCGAGCGUGACGGCGCGAGCAGGUGCGAAAGCAGGUCAUAGUGAUCCGGUGGUUCUGAAUGGAAGGGCCAUCGCUCAACGGAUAAAAGGUACUCCGGGGAUAACAGGCUGAUACCGCCCAAGAGUUCAUAUCGACGGCGGUGUUUGGCACCUCGAUGUCGGCUCAUCACAUCCUGGGGCUGAAGUAGGUCCCAAGGGUAUGGCUGUUCGCCAUUUAAAGUGGUACGCGAGCUGGGUUUAGAACGUCGUGAGACAGUUCGGUCCCUAUCUGCCGUGGGCGCUGGAGAACUGAGGGGGGCUGCUCCUAGUACGAGAGGACCGGAGUGGACGCAUCACUGGUGUUCGGGUUGUCAUGCCAAUGGCACUGCCCGGUAGCUAAAUGCGGAAGAGAUAAGUGCUGAAAGCAUCUAAGCACGAAACUUGCCCCGAGAUGAGUUCUCCCUGAGACUUUAGGUCUCCUGAAGGAACGUUGAAGACGACGACGUUGAUAGGCCGGGUGUGUAAGCGCAGCGAUGCGUUGAGCUAACCGGUACUAAUGAACCGUGAGGCUUAACCUUACAACGCCGAAG
rnacentral:rRNA from 1 species